rnacentral:rRNA from 1 species
UACGGAGGGUGCAAACGUUGCUCGGAAUCAUUGGGCGUAAAGCGCACGUAGGCGGCUUUCUAAGUCAGGGGUGAAAUCCUGGAGCUCAACUCCAGAACUGCCUUUGAUACUGGAAAGCUUGAGUUCGGGAGAGGUGAGUGGAACUGCGAGUGUAGAGGUGAAAUUCGUAGAUAUUCGCAAGAACACCAGUGGCGAAGGCGGCUCACUGGCCCGGUACUGACGCUGAGGUGCGAAAGCGUGGGGAGCAAACAGG